CAGCCGCCACGGUAAAACGUAGGUGGCAAGCGUUGUCCGGAAUUAUUGGGCGUAAAGGGCGCGUAGGCGGACAGUUUAGUCAGUGGUGAAAGCCCGGGGCUCAACCUCGGAAUUGCCUUUGAUACUGGCUGUCUUGAGUACGGGAGAGGUGUGUGGAACUCCGAGUGUAGAGGUGAAAUUCGUAGAUAUUCGGAAGAACACCAGCGGCGAAGGCGACACACUGGCCCGUUGCUGACGCUGAGGCGCGAAAGCGUGGGGAGCAAACAGGAUUAGAUACCCCUGUAGUCCCUGUCUCUUAUAA
rnacentral:rRNA from 1 species